GAUGAAGAACGCAGCGAAAUGCGAUAAGUAAUGUGAAUUGCAGAAUUCAGUGAAUCAUCGAAUCUUUGAACGCACAUUGCGCCCGCCAGUAUUCUGGCGGGCAUGCCUGUUCGAGCGUCAUUUCAACCAUCAAGCCCCCGGCUUGUGUUGGGGACCUGCGGCUGCCGCAGGCCCUGAAAUGCAGUGGCGGGCUCGCUGUCACUCCGAGCGUAGUAGUUACAUCUCGCUCUGGGCGUGCUGUGGGUUCCGGCCGUUAAAAGCCUUAUUUACCCAAGGUUGACCUCGGAUCAGGUAGGAAGACCCGCUGAACUUAAGCAUAUCAAUAAGCGGAGGA
rnacentral:misc_RNA from 1 species